CAAUAGCGUAUAUUAAAGUUGUUGCAGUUAAAAAGCUCGUAGUUGGAUUUCUGGUGGGAGCGAUCGGUCUGGCGCUUAGCGCGAGUACUUGCAUCGUCUCCGGCCAUCCUUGGGGAGAGUCUGUCUGGAAUUAAGUUGUCGGGCAGAGGAUCCUCAUCGUUUACUGUGAAAAAAUUAGAGUGUUCAAAGCAGGCUUAUGCCGUUGAAUAUAUUAGCAUGGAAUAAUAAGAUAGGACUUUGGUACUAUUUUGUUGGUUUGCGCACCAAAGUAAUGAUUAAUAGGGACAGUUGGGGGUAUUCGUAUUCCGUUGUCAGAGGUGAAAUUCUUGGAUUUACGGAAGACGAACUACUGCGAAAGCAUUUACCAAGGAUGUUUUCAUUAA
rnacentral:rRNA from 1 species